GAUGAACGCUAGCUACAGGCUUAACACGUGCAAGUCGAGGGGUAGCAGGGUAGCAAUACCGCUGACGACCGGCGCACGGGUGAGUAACACGUAUCCAACCUUCCCAUAACUCGGGGAUAGCCUUUCGAAAGAAAGAUUAAUACCCGAUAGUACUUUUUCAAGGCAUCUUGAGAAAGUUAAAGAUUUAUUGGUUAUGGAUGGGGAUGCGUUCCAUUAGAUAGUUGGUGAGGUAACGGCUCACCAAGUCUUCGAUGGAUAGGGGUUCUGAGAGGAAGGUCCCCCACAUUGGUACUGAGACACGGACCAAACUCCUACGGGAGGCAGCAGUGAGGAAUAUUGGUCAAUGGGCGAGAGCCUGAACCAGCCAAGUAGCGUGAAGGAUGAAGGUCCUAUGGGUUGUAAACUUCUUUUAUAGUAGAAUAAAGUGAUCCACGUGUGGAUUUUUGUAUGUAUACUAUGAAUAAGGAUCGGCUAACUCCGUGCCAGCCGCCGCGGUAA
rnacentral:rRNA from 1 species